rnacentral:rRNA from 1 species
AGAGGUUGAUUCUGGCUCAGGAUGAACGCUAGCUACAGGCUUAACACAUGCAAGUCGAGGGGAAACGACAUCGAAAGCUUGCUUUUGAUGGGCGUCGACCGGCGCACGGGUGAGUAACGCGUAUCCAACCUGCCCACCACUUGGGGAUAACCUUGCGAAAGUAAGACUAAUACCCAAUGAUAUCUCUAGAAGACAUCUGAAAGAGAUUAAAGAUUUAUCGGUGAUGGAUGGGGAUGCGUCUGAUUAGCUUGUUGGCGGGGUAACGGCCCACCAAGGCAACGAUCAGUAGGGGUUCUGAGAGGAAGGUCCCCCACAUUGGAACUGAGACACGGUCCAAACUCCUACGGGAGGCAGCAGUGAGGAAUAUUGGUCAAUGGACGAGAGUCUGAACCAGCCAAGUAGCGUGCAGGAAGACGGCCCUAUGGGUUGUAAACUGCUUUUAUAAGGGAAUAAAGUGAGUCUCGUGAGACUUUUUGCAUGUACCUUAUGAAUAAGGACCGGCUAAUUCCGUGCCAGCAGCCGCGGUAAUACGGAAGGUCCGGGCGUUAUCCGGAUUUAUUGGGUUUAAAGGGAGCGUAGGCCGGAGAUUAAGCGUGUUGUGAAAUGUAGAUGCUCAACAUCUGAACUGCAGCGCGAACUGGUUUCCUUGAGUACGCACAAAGUGGGCGGAAUUCGUGGUGUAGCGGUGAAAUGCUUAGAUAUCACGAAGAACUCCGAUUGCGAAGGCGGCUCACUGGAGCGCAACUGACGCUGAAGCUCGAAAGUGCGGGUAUCGAACAGGAUUAGAUACCCUGGUAGUCCGCACGGUA